rnacentral:rRNA from 1 species
UACAGAGGUCUCAAGCGUUGUUCGGAUUCAUUGGGCGUAAAGGGUGCGUAGGCGGCGCGGUAAGCCGGGUGUGAAAUCUCGGAGCUUAACUCCGAAACUGCAUUCGAUACUGCCGUGCUUGAGGACUGGAGAGGAGACUGGAAUUUACGGUGUAGCGGUGAAAUGCGUAGAUAUCGUAAGGAAGACCAGUGGCGAAGGCGGGUCUCUGGACAGUUCCUGACGCUGGGGCACGAAGGCCAGGGGAGCAAACGGG